UACUUCUGCUUUCCUUGGGUUUGUUUGUCUUUCAUUUCAAGUGAUUUCUUAAUUUCCUUUAACAGUUUUUAAACUGUGGAAUUAUUUUCUCAGUAUAGUCCAAGCUACAUCUAAUAAGCUCUAGCAUGUAACUUUUUCUUUUUUGUUCUUUUCUAAAUAUUGUGUCACUGCUGAUUUGGUUUUUCUCUUUUAUCCAUGAGAUGACUGUUUUAAGUUCCCAGGAAGCGAGUCUUCUUGUUCCAAUUUAUUCCUGAAUUUUUAUUUUGACUGUCAUUACACUGUAGUUAGGAGAUGUGACCUCUACUGUCUCCAGCAUUUAGAAUGUAUUGCGGAUCCAGGGACACAGCAAGUCAGGUGGGCUCUGUCGCAAGGAUGGUUACAACAUAGACUACUUCCAUGUCAGUCUUCCAUUAUUUGCAUACUCGAGACCCUGAUGUGUUGGCUAAUUUGCCAAGAAACCCCCGCAGCAGACUGCGUCCGCAGGGCAGGGCUGAGUAGCAGGGGCAGCACCUCUCACAGGGGCAGGGCCGCUUGCCCAGCCUUGAGGAAGGGGGACCCAGACAUUGCCUUUCUCAAUACUGAGCCCCUAAACAGGAUUUCUGGUCUGGGGUCUGGGACUAGGCUAUCUGGACAGUCAAACUCUUCCCACUGCGCCAUCAGCCCCACUAGGAAAGAAAGAGGAGAAAUUAGGGCUUUGCUUUAAAGAGUUCAACGGUCAGAAUAUGUCCCCCGCAAACGGACAUGCUGGAAUCCUCAUCCCCAAGUGAGGGCGGGGCCUCACAUUAGGAGGUGAUGAGGUCACAGAGGCAGAAACCUCACGAACGGGAUCAGGCUCAUCAAAGAGGCCUGAGAGACGACACCUACCAGCUGGAAGGCGGUUCCGCACCAGACACCGAAGCUGCUGGGCCUUCGACCUCGGACCUCCGUCUUCCAGAACUGUGAGCCACACAUUCCUGAUGCUCCUAAGCCACGCCGUGUACGGUAUUUUGUUACGGUAGCCCAAAUGGACCAAGAUAGGAGCUAAAGGUGCUUGUGAGAUUCCACGCAUCAUACUAGAGGUGUGAGCACUGCACCUAAGGGUGCCUCGGAUCAUCCCUGAGAUGCAGGCACUGCACCAGGAGGUGUCUUGGAUCAUUCCUGAGGUGUGAGCACAUCAUCAGAAGACCCUUUUGUCCAUGGGGUCCCAUUCUCACCUUCUGGAUACACAUCACUCUCGGGGCCGCCAUUCUACCUGCCUCAUCUGUGCGCGGCAGUCUGGACCUAGAAGCUCUGUCCCCUCUGCUGCCCAGUGGAGUCGAGUGCCUGGCACCCAACACCCAGACAGGGUGGCCACCAACCUGGUUGAGGGGACUGUCCCCAAGAUGAUCACAGAACAUCAGGCAGGGCUCCUGAGCCAGCGCCCCCCCCAAGCCUGCCUCGCUCCCAGUACGGCCGGAAGAGUAGCUGAGGCCAACCCCUGAAGCAGCCAAGGCGUCCUCUAUGCCCAGAAGUGCCAGGGAUCGGGGGCUGCCCAGUUCCAGACAGGGUCAUCACACUCCGACCUUCAGAGGGGCCCCCCGCCUGCCAGCUCCAGACAGGGCCAUCACACUCCCGAUCCACAGAGGGCCCCCCCACGCCUCCCAGCUCCUGACGGAAGCGCCUGUCCAGCUUCACCGACCUCCAUGCCGCUGCCUGGGGUCUUGCUCGAACGCAAGAGAACACGGGUCUCGUUGAGGGCUCCUCUGCCCCGCAUCUCCUGCUCCUGGACACCCAGGCCUGCCCUCACCACUGCUGCUGGACACCGGGCAGGGGUCCUGGCCACUCUUCUGGAAGGCCAGUCUGACGUUGCAGGCGCAGCCACUUCACUGUUUGUCCUUCACGGUAUGCCAGACUCCCUCCUCCCUGCAAGAGCCUCUCCCAGGGCCCAGUCCUCCCCCGAGAGGUGCUGAUGAGAGUGGAGUAUGGAACCAUCUGCCAGCCAACCCCAGGUGGCCUCUCGGGGGUGCCCUGCCCCACAGGGCCAUGCACGGUGUGGCCCUCCCCGGUGCUGUCACGUCUGAAUGUGGCCCUGCAGACUUGCCCCCACUGGGCUGGAGCACAUCCCCUGGAAUCUGAUCCCAGGAGCUCCGGGAGCAGCUCGCACACAGCUCCAUGGAUGCCCCUCACAGUGGGAGAGACAGGAAAGGCCAGCUCCGAGUCUCACACCUCACUCUUCAAGCUGGGAAAAUGAUGCUGUUACCUUGGGAGGUGAGACCCUCCAGAUGGGAACCUCGACGCUGGGAGCUGGUGUGUUCCCGGAAUUCGGGGGAAUAUUUCAUUCCCUGCGUAUGGUGUCUGGACUUUCAGAUCCCUCCUCCCAGGCACCCAGGCAUCAUUUCACAACCCCAUGCUCAGCAAGCCCCAGAGAAAACUCCUCAAUAAACUACGAGUGUUAAUACCCG
rnacentral:lncRNA from 1 species